rnacentral:rRNA from 1 species
AGAUUAGCUUGCUUUAUCUGUCAGCUAAGUGGCGCACGGGUGAGUAAUGUAUAGGUAAUAUGCCUCUUACUAAGGGAUAACAAUUGGAAACGAUUGCUAAUACCUUAUAUGCCUUUAAGACUAAAGUCUGCAAGGGAAAGAUUUAUUGGUAAGAGAUUAGCCUGUAUUGUAUCAGCUAGUUGGUGAGGUAAUGGCUCACCAAGGCUAUGACGCAUAACUGGUUUGAGAGGAUGAUCAGUCACACUGGAACUGAGACACGGUCCAGACUCCUACGGGAGGCAGCAGUGGGGAAUAUUGCACAAUGGACGAAAGUCUGAUGCAGCAACGCCGCGUGGAGGAUGACACAUUUCGGUGCGUAAACUCCUUUUAUAUAGGAAGAUAAUGACGGUACUAUAUGAAUAAGCACCGGCUAACUCCGUGCCAGCAGCCGCGGUAAUACGGAGGGUGCAAGCGUUACUCGGAAUCACUGGGCGUAAAGAGCGUGUAGGCGGGUGAAUAAGUCAGAAGUGAAAUCCAAUAGCUCAACUAUUGAACUGCUUUUGAAACUGUAUACCUAGAAUGUGGGAGAGGCAGA